UACGAAGGGGGCUAGCGUUGCUCGGAAUUACUGGGCGUAAAGGGCGCGUAGGCGGCACUGUUAGUCAGGCGUGAAAUUCCUGGGCUCAACCUGGGGACUGCGCUUGAUACGGCAGAGCUAGAGGAUGGAAGAGGCUCGCGGAAUUCCCAGUGUAGAGGUGGAAUUCGUAGAUAUUGGGAAGAACACCGGUGGCGAAGGCGGCGAGCUGGUCCAUUACUGACGCUGAGGCGCGACAGCGUGGGGAGCAAACAGG
rnacentral:rRNA from 1 species